GCGGAGUAGCUCAGUUGGUAGAGCACGACCUUGCCAAGGUCGGGGUCGCGAGUUCGAGUCUCGUCUCCCGCU
rnacentral:tRNA from 1 species